rnacentral:tRNA from 1 species
GUCAGGAUGGCCGAGUGGUCUAAGGCGCCAGACUCAAGGUGCAAGCCUUACCUACGGGUGUUCUGGUCUCCGAAUGGAGGCGUGGGUUCGAAUCCCACUUCUGACA